GGAGGGUAUAGCUCAGUGGUAGAGUGUGUGCUUAGCAUGCACGAGGUUCUGGGUUCAAUCCCCAGUACCUCCA
rnacentral:tRNA from 1 species